rnacentral:rRNA from 1 species
CAAGGCGAUGAUCAGUAGCCGGUCUGAGAGGAUGAACGGCCACAUUGGGACUGAGACACGGCCCAGACUCCGUACGGGAGGCAGCAGUGGGGAAUCUUCCGCAAUGGACGAAAGUCUGACGGAGCAACGCCGCGUGAGUGAAGAAGGUCUUCGGAUGUAAAGCUCUGUUAUACGGGACGAAAAAGACGGAUGCCAACAGUAUCCGUCCGUGACGGUACCGUAAGAGAAAGCCACGGGCUAACUACGUGCCAGCAGCCGCGGUAAAU